GCAGGUGCAUUUAUGCUGAAGUACUAUGAGCCUUCAGAACUUCUGGAGAAACUACAAAGUUCUGAUUGUCAUGGUACCUUUAGUCGGGCUUAUACAUUUGGGGUGGCACAGAAUCAAAACCAGCCCUGUUUUCCAAGUACCUAAUAAGGAUGAUAUUCCUGAGCAAGAUAGCCUGGGACUUUCAAAUCUGCCAAUGAGCCAAAUCCAAGGGAAAUAGCAGACUUGCAAUUUUCAGAAAGAAGCAGCUUUGAAUCUUAAUUUGAUAUUAAAAGAAGAGAAUGAAAAACAUCAGUUGGAUUAGAAAGAACUGGCUUCUUGUAGCUGGGAUGUCUUUCAUAGGUGUCCAUCUUGGAACGUACUUUAUACAGAGGGCUGCAAAACAGUCUGUAAAAUCUCAAUCUGGAAGCAAACAAAAGAUUGUUGAAGAAUGAAGUAAAAUAAAUAUUUGGAAUUA